GGAGGCAUGGUUCAAGUAGUAGAACACCUAUCUAGCAAACAUGUGGCCUUGAGUUCAAAUCUCAAUACUGCCA
rnacentral:tRNA from 1 species